rnacentral:misc_RNA from 1 species
GGCCGUAGGUGAACCUGCGGAAGGAUCAUUAGUGAAUUGAAUAUGUUAGCGGACCUCUUCGGAGUCCCUAGCAUCAAAUCAUAUCCAUAACACCUGUGAACUGUAGGGCCGUCUUGAAAACGAAAGUGAUUAGAGCGCCUGCCCAUUUUAUACAAACAUUAAAGUAACAAACGUAGUCUUAUUAUAAUCUAAUAAAACUUUCAACAACGGAUCUCUUGGCUCUC